AAGUCGUAACAAGGUUUCCGUAGGUGAACCUGCGGAAGGAUCAUUAACACGUAUCCAACGUUAAACAACCCUGUGAACUUUCAGCCUGCUCUUGUAACCAUGAGGAACAGCAAUCCCGGUAAAUCAUUGCAAACAGUUUUGAUAAUUGAGCGGUAGAGGCAGUGGCAUGGCUUCCCCAAGCAGUUAGUGAAUGACAGUGUCACUGAUUGUGUAAGGAUAACGCCUCACGGUUGCCAGAGGUCGAUCACCGACCGGCAGACAUGUCACAGGGUCACCACGCCCCUUAAUCACCCCAAUUUGAAAUUGCUCCUACCUGGUGGUAACGCACUGGGUCAAAAAAACCGAACAACUGUUAACAAUGGAUAUCUUGGUUCUC
rnacentral:misc_RNA from 1 species